rnacentral:ribozyme from 12 species
AGGGAAUCGAAAAAGAUGUGGAAGAAAAUUACCAGGUUUCUUUGCUUUUUCGAUCCUUGUUCUUCUUCUCUGUUUUUGUUCUUUUUUUUUCUCAUUUUUUUUU